rnacentral:rRNA from 1 species
UCCGUAGCCACCGAAGUCGUUAAAUACAGGGACACAGGAACAUAGCCUAACCCCACCGUUGGUUGAGUGGGGCGUAAGGGAGCGAAAAAUAGUAGCGAAGUAGGUGAUUGUACACUGGCGAGAAAAGCUGUAUGUAUUGAUAAGGUGCCCGUACCGCAAACCGACACAGGUAGAUGAGGAGAGAAUCCUAAGACCAGCGGGAGAAGUGUUGUUAAGGAACUCGGCAAAAUGACCCCGUAACUUCGGGAUAAGGGGAGCCUACGCGAGUAGGCCGCAGAGAAUAGUCUCAAGCGACUGUUUAGCAAAAACACAGGUCUAUGCUAAAUCGAAAGAUGAUGUAUAUGGGCUGACGCCUGCCCGGUGCUGGAAGGUUAAGGGGAAGUGUUAGAGCAAUCGAAGCACUGAACUUAAGCCCCAGUAAACGGCGGCCGUAACAAUAACGGUCCUAAGGUAGCGAAAUUCCUUGUCAGGUAAGUUCUGACCCGCACGUAUGGCGUAACGACUUGAGAGCUGUCUCAACAACAUACCCGGCGAAAUUGAAGUACUGGUAAAGAUGCCAGUUACCCGUGAUAAGACGGAAAGACCCCAUGGAGCUUUACUGUAACUUGAUAUUGAAUUUUUGUAUUACAUGUACAGGAUAGGUGGGAGACAGAGAACUAAUGCCGCCAGGUGUUAGGGAGUCGAUGUUGGGAUACCACUCUUGUAAUAUGAAGGUUCUAACCUGCACCCGUGAAUCCGGGUGGGGGACACUGUCAGGUGGACAGUUUGACUGGGGCGGUCGCCUCCUAAAAGGUAACGGAGGCGUUCAAAGGUUGGUUCAGCACGGACGGAAAUCGUGCAACGAGUGCAAACGCAUAAACCAGCCUAACUGCGAGACCGACAAGUCGAGCAGUAACGAAAGUUGGAGUUAGUGAUCCGGCGGUAUGAGAGUGGAAUUGCCGUCGCUCAACGGAUAAAAGCUACCCUGGGGAUAACAGGCUGAUCUCCCCCAAGAGUCCACAUCGACGGGGAGGUUUGGCACCUCGAUGUCGGCUCAUCGCAUCCUGGAGCUGUAGUCGGUUCCAAGGGUUGGGCUGUUCGCCCAUUAAGGCGGUACGCGAGCUGGGUUCAGAACGUCGCGAGACAGUUCGGUCCCUAUCUAUCACGGGCGUAGGAAAUUUGAGGAGAGCUGACCUUAGUACGAGAGGACCGGGUUGGACGUACCGCUGGUGCACCUGUUGUUCUGCCAAGGGCAUAGCAGGGUAGCUAAGUACGGACGGGAUAAACGCUGAAGGCAUCUAAGCGUGAAGCCCCCUUCGAGAUAAGAUUUCCCAUAGCGUAGGCUAGUAAGGACCCAUGAAGACUACAUGGUUGAUAGGCCGGAGGUGGAAGUGCAGUAACGUAUGUAGCUGACCGGUACUAAUAGUCCGAGGGCUUGACC